GGUUGAGGUUCACAACUGACGAUGUUAAGUGAAUGUGAUGAUAAAUAAUAAGAGAAGCCAAGAGUUAUGCAAGAUAGAGACGUUCGUCAACGAGGCCUGGUAUUUAGUGGGAAAUCCAUUUUGAAAAGCUUAGGAAACCCCAAGGAUUAAACUAAACAUAAGCCAUUUUUGUUGGCACUUCCACCUUAAUAAAAGAAAUCUAGUGUCUAUUGGAGAUGUGUUUCACUAACACUGGCCAUUUACAACUAGCUUUUUUUGACACUCAGUCUUUGGCAAGUGUUAGUGUGAAGACCCUACUUUGUCGGCAUUGAACUAAUACUGUUUUUUUUUACAGUUAGUGUUUCGGUUUCCCGUUGGUAGGUGGCGUAAAGGAUAUUUUUAUUUUUUUUAUUAUUUCCAUUUUUAGUUCAGAGGUGGCGUCAAGGAACUUUUUUAAGCUUCCUAUUGUUUCUGUUUGUCGUUCAUAGGUGGAAAGAAUGUUUUUCCAAAAUGGCUCACUUUGCGGUCCAUAGGUGGCGCAUUUGUUUUUUUUAAUGGUCCCGUUAAUUAGCGUGCGCGAAAUGUUUCGACUUCCCGUUCAUAGGUGGAAGACAAGUACGAACCAUGUCACACUGACUUGAGAGCAUAGUAAAGUGUUACUCAUGUCGCUUAUAUAACGAGUGGCACGUUAAUAAUCUUGUAAUGCCAAUGCUUUCUCCCUCAGCUCUUUGCUAUGAUCAUUGUGGGUUGGAUUAAAGAGCAAAAUCCACAGAGAAACUGAAAUUCAUUAUUGUCAUGUCAUUACAUCAUCCAUUGUUUUCAGAAAUAGGAGCAGUACAAUUGGCAGCCAUAAAGCUUUGUAGUUUCGAAGAAUUUUAGUUUUGUCUGGUGAGUGGUUUAUAAUGUUGCCCAUUCUAUUGUUAACUUUUUUUGUAGGUUAAUGCCAUAAAACAUUUAUUUUGAGACUUUGAGUACCGCCUAUCCUUAUAACAAUGGAACACUAAUGUUGACUACAUUGCAGAAACAAAAAUGAACAUAUGUGCAACAGGUAUUUUUUGUGAAAUGAAACGAAGUUUUUAUUGAUUUCAGAUUUGCUGUUAAAAUGUUUAUUGUUACCUUGCGAAAAAGUGUGCUCAUUCGUUAUAGUAUUCUAAAAAUAAUUCUGUAAUUGAUGAAUGCUAUGAAGGUGA